GUCGAGGACUCCACCAACCUUUUUGGAGUACAGCAGGAUGCUUGGUCAGUUUAUAUUAUAUAAAGCGCCAAAGCUCCGGGGGUAUAUGGUUUCUCAGAGCCCUUAUCCUUACAUGCCUUGGUGGUUGUUCAAGUUUGUCAUCACAUUUGGGCCGUCUGGUCACUGACUUUUUUAUAUGUUCAUCGUUUAAGGCAGAUUGAACAUGGCAGCAGCUACAAUUGUUCCUAUAGUUCUUAACCUUAAGAACUAUGACGAUUGGAGUCCUCGGGUGAAGACUUACUUGAUGGCAGAAGAUCUUUGGGAUAUUGUCGAAGGCACAUAUAAAAAACCGCCUCUUAUUGACCCCUUUCCAAUUGAUGGAUCUUUACCAAUUAUCAAAACAGGAGAAGAAAAAGAAGCUGAAAUUAAGGCUUGGAAGAUGAAGAAUGUCAAGGCCUUAUAUGCAAUCCCGAAUUCUUGCGGGGAUGAUACUUAUCAAUUUAUCAAGAGCGCAACCACAGCCAAAGAAGCAUGGGAUACUUUGUUAGAAAAAUUGAAUCCAGGUCGUAAUCAAUCAUCAGACGGAAGAGGUACGACAUAAAUUGAUAAGUAGAAAUGUGUGCACGAUUAUUCUCCAGUACCAGCUGAACUUCUCACAAACACAGGCAUUUGUAAGAAGGAAACAGAAAAGGCAAAUUGAGAAUUGAAUGGUUGUUAGCAUAAACAUAUACCAGAAACAUGUGAUAUGAAUCACAGUGAUCAAAACACAAAACCCAAUUCAUAAUCCUGUAGCACAGAGAAGAAACUUACCGGUAGAUGAACUAGAAGAAGCAGUGUAAGAUCCAACAUCGUUUAGGGGUGAGGAUCCUUUAAACCUUAUAUG